UACGUAGGGGGCAAGCGUUGUCCGGAUUUAUUGGGCGUAAAGCGCGUGUAGGCGGCCAGGUAGGUCGGUUGUGAAAAUUGGAGGCUCAACCUCCAGACGUCGAUCGAAACCAUCUGGCUAGAGUCCGGAAGAGGAGAAUGGAAUUCCUGGUGUAGCGGUGAAAUGCGCAGAUAUCAGGAAGAACACCUAUGGCGAAGGCAGCACUCUGGGACGGUACUGACGCUGAGACGCGAAAGCGUGGGGAGCGAACAGG
rnacentral:rRNA from 1 species